UGUUAAAAAUUUCAUCCAUUUCUACUGUUAAAAACUAGCAUGGCUAAGACAAAAUAACUAGAUAAUUACAUGUGGUGUGUCAUGUGCACUUCAUGAUGACGUACAUGGAUUAGUUUUUAAUAGUAAAUUAAAAUGAAAGAAUUUUUUAAUA
rnacentral:pre_miRNA from 1 species